rnacentral:rRNA from 1 species
GACGAACUGCCCAAACGUUGUUCGGAAUCACUGGGCUUAAAGGGCGCGUAGGCGGGCUGCCAAGUCCGGGGUGAAAUCUUUCGGCUCAACCGGAAAAUAGCCUCGGAGACUGGCGGUCUGGAGGGGGGUAGGGGCAGCUGGAACUUCCGGUGGAGCGGUGAAAUGCGUUGAUAUCGGAAGGAACGCCGGUGGCGAAAGCGAGCUGCUGGACCUUUUCUGACGCUGAGGCGCGAAAGCCAGGGGAGCAAACGGG